GUGCUCACUUCCGCAGCACAUAUACUAAAAUUGGAACGAUACAGAGAAGAUUAGCAUGGCCCCUGUGCAAGGAUGAUAUGCAAAUUUGUGAAGUGUCCCGUGUUUUU